rnacentral:rRNA from 1 species
UACGGGGGGGGCAAGCGUUUGUUCGGAAUUACUGGGCGUAAAGGGCUCGUAGGUGGCCAACUAAGUCAGACGUGAAAUCCCUCGGCUUAACCGGGGAACUGCGUCUGAUACUGGAUGGCUUGAGUUCGGGAGAGGGAUGCGGAAUUCCAGGUGUAGCGGUGAAAUGCGUAGAUAUCUGGAGGAACACCGGUGGCGAAGGCGGCAUCCUGGACCGACACUGACGCUGAGGAGCGAAAGCCAGGGGAGCAAACGGG